rnacentral:tRNA from 1 species
GGGGCCGUAGCUCAGCUGGGAGAGCAUCGGCUUUGCAAGCCGAGGGUCGAGGGUUCGAGUCCCUUCGGCUCCA